rnacentral:rRNA from 1 species
GUCCUGGUGACCACGGCGGAGGGGCCACACCCGAUUCCAUUCCGAACUCGGAAGUUAAGACCUCCAGCGCCAAUGAUACUGCCAGUCCACUGGUGGGAAAGUAGGUCGUCGCCAGGAC